rnacentral:rRNA from 1 species
GUUAGGAAUAUUGGACAAUGGGCGCAAGCCUGAUCCAGCCAUGCCGCGUGAGUGAUGAAGGCCUUCGGGUUGUAAAGCUCUUUAGUCCACGAAUAUAAUGACUGUAGUGGAAGAAUAAGCCCCGGCUAACCUCGUGCCAGCAGCCGCGGUAAUACGAAGGGGGCGAGCGUUAUUCGGAAUCACUGGGCGUAAAGCGUGCGUAGGCUGUUUUGUAAGUCAGAAGUGAAAGCCCAGGGCUUAACCCUGGAAUUGCUUUUGAAACUACAAGACUCGAAUUCGGGAGAGGAUAGCGGAAUUGUCAGUGUAGCAGUGAAAUGCGUAGAUAUUGACAGGAACACCAGUGGCGCAAGCGGCUAUCUGGACCGAUAUUGACGCUGAGGCACGAAAGCGUGGGGAGCAAACAGGAUUAGAAACCCGAGUAGUCC